rnacentral:rRNA from 1 species
AAGGUGAAAAGAACCCCAGUAGGGGAGUGAAAUAGAACAUGAAACCAAAUGCUGACAAUCAGUGGGAAGGGUUUAACCCUGACCGCGUACCUGUUGAAGAAUGGGCCGGCGAGUUAUAUGUAGUGGCAGGUUAAAAAGGAUCUUUGAAGCCUCAGCGAAAGCAAGUCUGAAUAGGGCGCUAAGUCAUUAUAUAUAGACCCGAACCCGGAUGAUCUAACCAUGACCAGGAUGAAACUUCGGUAACACGCAGUGAAGGUCCGAACCGACCGAUGUUGAAAAAUCGGCGGAUGAGUUGUGGUUAGGGGUGAAAUGCCAGUCGAAUCCGGAGCUAGCUGGUUCUCCCCGAAAUGUGUUGAGGCGCAGCGCUUCAUAAUGGGCUUUCUAGGGGUAAAGCACUGUAUCGGUGCGGGCCGGGAGACUGGUACCAAAUCGUAGCAAACUAAGAAUACUAGAAACGCUUUCUAUGAAGCAGUGAGACAGUGGGGGAUAAGCUCCAUUGUCGAGAGGGAAACAGCCCAGAUCACCAGCUAAGGCCCCUAAAUGAUUCCUAAGUGUUAAAGGAGGUGAGGAUGCACAAACAGCCAGAAGGUUUGCUUAGAAGCAGCCAUCCUUUAAAGAGUGCGUAACAGCUCACUGGUCGAGCGUCUUUGCGCCGAAAAUGGACGGGACUAAGGAAUCUGCCGAAGCUGUGAAAGAAUACCAUAUUCUUGGUAGGGGAGCGUUCUGCUAUAGGGUGAAGUUUUUUCGUGAGAAAGAAUGGACGAAGCAGAAGUGAGAAUGUCGGCUUGAGUAGCGAAAACAUCGGUGAGAAUCCGAUGCCCCGAAAACCUAAGGGUUCCUCCACAAGGCUCGUCCAUGGGGGGUUAGUCAGGACCUAAGAUCAGGCCGAAAGGCGUAGUCGAUGGGAAGCAGGUCAAUAUUCCUGCACUUAAUUUUUAUUAGCACCGGGGGACGAAGCCGUUUGAGAUGCAGUCGGCGAAGAAAGACUGAAUUACAUCAAGGCUUCCAAGAAAAUCCCGUUCUGCUCUUAAUAGGAAUUAACCUGUACCACAAACUGACACAAGUGGGUAGGUCGAGAAGACCAAGGGGCGCGAGAUAACUCUCUCUAAGGAACUCGGCAAAAUGGCCCCGUAACUUCGGGAGAAGGGGUGCCUAUUAUAUAGGUUGCAGUGACCAGGCCCAGGCGACUGCUUAACAAAAGCACAGGUAUCCGCUAAGUCGUAAGACAAUGUAUGGGUGCUGACGCCUGCCCAGUGCCGGAAGGUUAAGGACGUUGGUUAGUAUUUAUACGAAGCUAGCAACUGAAGCCCCGGUGAACGGCGGCCGUAACAAUAACGGUCCUAAGGUAGCGAAAUUCCUUGUCUGGUAAGUUCAGACCCGCACGAAAGGCGUAACGAUCUGGGCACUGUCUCGGAGAGAGGCUCGGUGAAAUAGAAUUGUCUGUGAAGAUGCGGACUAUCACCACCCGGACAAAAAGACCCUAUGAAGCUUUACUGUAACUUGAAAUUGGCUUCGGGUUCUUCUUGCGCAGCUUAGGUGGAAGGCGUUGAUGAUAUUCUUCCGGGAAUGUUGGAGCCGCAAGUGAGAUACCACUCUUGAAGAACUUGGAGUCUAAUGGCGUUCCUUGAAUCAGGACGCUUGACUCUUUCAGGCUGGCAGUUUUACUGGGGCGGUAGCCUCCUAAAAGGUAACGGAGGCGUGCAAAGGUUCUCUCAGGCUGGACGGAAAUCAGCUUUAGAGCGUAAAGGCAUAAGGGAGCUUGACUGCAAGACCUACAAGUCGAGCAGGGACGAAAGUCGGCCUUAGUGAUCCGACGGUGCCGUGUGGAAGGGCCGUCGCUCAACGGAUAAAAGUUACUCUAGGGAUAACAGGCUGAUCUUCCCCAAGAGUUCACAUCGACGGGAAGGUUUGGCACCUCGAUGUCGGCUCAUCGCAACCUGGUGCGGUAGUACGUGCCAAGGGUUGGGCUGUUCGCCCAUGAAAGCGGUACGUGAGCUGGGUUCAGAACGUCGUGAGACAGUUCGGUCCAUAUCCGGUGUAGGCGUUAGAGUAUUGAAAGAACCCUUCCUUAGUACGAGAGGACCGGGAAGGACACACCGCUGGUGUACCAGUUAUCGUGCCAACGGUAGACGCUGGGUAGCUAAGUGUGGAAAGGAUAACCGCUGAAAGCAUCUAAGUGGGAAGCUAUUCUUAAGAUGAGUACUCUUUGAGGUCACGGCGAGACUAGCCGUUUGAUAGGCAUCAAGUGUAAGUUCAGUAAUGGAUUCAGCUGAGAUGUCCUAACAGACCAAAAACUUGAAAU